rnacentral:rRNA from 1 species
UGGGGAAUUUUGGACAAUGGGGGCAACCCUGAUCCAGCAAUGCCGCGUGUGUGAAGAAGGCCUUCGGGUUGUAAAGCACUUUUGUCCGGAAAGAAAACGUCGUGGUUAAUACCCGUGGCGGCUGACGGUACCGGAAGAAUAAGCACCGGCUAACUACGUGCCAGCAGCCGCGGUAAUACGUAGGGUGCAAGCGUUAAUCGGAAUUACUGGGCGUAAAGCGUGCGCAGGCGGUCCGCUAAGACAGAUGUGAAAUCCCCGGGCUUAACCUGGGAACUGCAUUUGUGACUGGCGGGCUAGAGUAUGGCAGAGGGGGGUAGAAUUCCACGUGUAGCAGUGAAAUGCGUAGAGAUGUGGGGGAAUACCGAUGGCGAAGGCAGCCCCCUGGGCCAAUACUGACGCUCAUGCACGAAAGCGUGGGGGAGCAAACAGGAUUAGAUACCCUGGUAGUCCACGCCCUAAACGAUGUCAACUAGUUGUCGGGUCUUCAUUGACUUGGUAACGUAGCUAACGCGUGAAGUUGACCGCCUGGGGAGUACGGUCGCAAGAUUAAAAACUCAAAUGAAUU